AUCUCGUGGUGAGGGCACUUGCAAAGUAAUUGUUUGAAUAUUUCCCAUGCCUUGUAUAAGGAUUUUUCAUCCAUUUGCUUGAAAGCGGUGAUCUCAUUUUGCAACU
rfam:Gossypium arboreum cultivar AKA8401 contig_109224_1, whole genome shotgun sequence.